rnacentral:tRNA from 1 species
UAGCUCAGUGGCAGAGCAAAUGUCUACCAUGCAUGAGCUCCUGGGUUCAAUCCCCAG